AUUGAACGCUGGCGGAAUGCUUUACACAUGCAAGUCGAACGGCAGCACGGACUUCGGUCUGGUGGCGAGUGGCGAACGGGUGAGUAAUGUAUCGGAACGUGCCCAGUCGUGGGGGAUAACGUAGUGAAAAUUACGCUAAUACCGCAUACGAUCUAUGGAUGAAAGCGGGGGAUCGCAAGACCUCGCGCGAUUGGAGCGGCCGAUAUCAGAUUAGGUAGUUGGUGGGGUAAAGGCCCACCAAGCCAAAGAUCUGUAGCUGGGCGGAGAGGACGACCAGCAACACUGGAACUGGGACACGGUCCAGACUCCUACGGGAGGCAGCAGUGGGGAAUUUUGGACAAUGGGCGAAAGCCUGAUCCAGCCAUUCCGCGUGCAGGAUGAAGGCCCUCGGGUUGUAAACUGCUUUUGUACAGAACGAAAAGGUUUCUACUAAUACUAGGAGCUCAUGACGGUACUGUAAGAAUAAGCACCGGCUAACUACGUGCCAGCCGCCGCCGUAA
rnacentral:rRNA from 1 species